rnacentral:rRNA from 1 species
AUCGUAACUCCUACGGGAGGCAGCAGUAAGGAAUAUUGGACAAUGGACGCAAGUCUGAUCCAGCCAUGCCGCGUGAAGGAUUAAGGUCCUCUGGAUUGUAAACUUCUUUUAUAAGGGACGUAAAAAGGUCUUUCUAGAUCGUCUGACGGUACCUUAUGAAUAAGCACCGGCUAACCCCGUGCCAGCAGCCGCGGUAAUACGGAGGGUGCAAGCGUUAUCCGGAUUCACUGGGUUUAAAGGGUGCGUAGGCGGGCAGGUAAGUCAGUGGUGAAAUCCUAGAGCUCAACUCUAGAACUGCCAUUGAUACUAUCUGUCUUGAAUAUUGUGGAGGUAAGCGGAAUAUGUCAUGUAGCGGUGAAAUGCUUAGAUAUGACAUAGAACACCUAUUGCGAAGGCAGCUUACUACGCAUAUAUUGACGCUGAGGCACGAAAGCGUGGGGAACAAACAGGAUUAGAAACCCCGGUAGUCCUAGAGC